rnacentral:rRNA from 1 species
AUCUACGGCCAUGCUACCCUGAACAAGCCUGAUCCCAUCUGAUUUCAGAAGCAAAGCAGGGUUGGCCCUUGGUUUAGUACUUGGAUGGGAGACCGCCCAGGAAGACCAGAUGCUCUAGGCG